rnacentral:lncRNA from 1 species
UUGGUUUCAAGCCAUCUUUGCAGUCAUACUUCCAGUGGGGCUGUGGAUUGACCACAUACAACCACCUUGCAGCCUUUUUGCACACUUUCGAGAGCCCAAUCUUGCUGAACUAGGGCAAAAAUUUCAACCAACUUAAGGUUGCAACCCCUUGGUUCCCCAAGCCGAAAACAUGUAGCACCUCUGCAAGUCAUUCACCUCCCAAUUCCUUCCA